CAAGGCUCUGGGCCAGUAGAGCAGGUAGAGAGGUAACACUGGGCAGCAAGCUGAGUGAAAAUUUCUCAAUGGAGUGAAAAUUCAGUGGCCUAGUUUAGCUAUUCUGAUGAGAAACCAAAGCCAGGUUGAAAAGUACAAUUAGAUGUGGUGGGUUCUGGUAACGGCCUCCAAAUAAAGGGGUUAGCCCUGUGGAAGUGACUUCUCCCCAUCUCAUCUCUUUUCAACUCAAAAUGGCCAGGCCCAGAACAGAAGAAGGGUCGGGUCUGGAAUGAAGGCUCCAAAGGAUGAAAGCUUCUCCCUAGUCACAAGGAAGUGCAUCUUUAUAGAACUGUAAACCCCUCUCACUAGACAAGGGACUGGAUUCAUCUUGCCUUGAGACAGGCCAGUAGUUAUCAGUGAGUCAAACCAAAUUGAAAGUUUCAGGAGAUGGGACCACAUGGUGCGAUGCUCGCCAUAACAAAAUUCCUUAAAAAUAAAAAAGCUAAUGUUAUAGCAACAAAAAAGACUGAACCAAACCACACCGAAACACAUCGCAUUCCAGGGGAGGCACUCUUUGUGUAACAUUCUAAAUAGAUGAAAGGGAAUGAUCAUCACCUUCCUUAUUCUACCUCUGCCUUGUUCACCAUGCUGCCCAGUGCUUACCAUGCAGAAAGCAGUCAGCUGUACUCUGCAAGUUUCUGUUCUUCUUUGCUGGGUCUUAGGGUAAUCUGGGAGCUGUCUGAGCCUUGUGCCUCAGGCUUAUUAGGUAAUAUAAUCUUCCUGUUAUGGGUUGCUUGUUGGAGGACUAUGAAGUCGACAUUUAUAAGACAGGGUAGAGUCAGCAUCCAUGUGUAGUCUUGGUCUAAACCGGAUCCUGAACAGGUUAAAGCAAACAGCAAUAACAAAACAAAAACUACCCACACCGAGCAUUCUGAUCCCAGUAAGAUUUCAAAUAUUGUGUUCUGCAUAUGUUCUAUCCAUAUUUGAUUCCAAUAUGCAUUAUUAAGCUUUCCUGGGUACUGUUUUGCUGGGGCUCUUGCAUGAAGGUGGUGCCUGUCUCAUGAUCCUUAAAAGAGAGGCCCUUUUCAUCCAAAGCUGGAGUGUUGGGAACUGGGGUGGGAGAGGCACUUGUGGAAUUCUGAAAGAAUCAUCAUUUGUGUAUAUACAUAUUGAGUGGGGAAGGAUGGGGGUUGGCAAAGGUUGAGGGAGGUGGGACCAAACAUUGGGUGUGGGAAUAGGCAGUCACCUUGAGUGUGGGAGGUCACCUGGGUCCGUUGCCUUCCUUCUGUACGGUGUUGGGUUUAUGUACACAGUAUAACACUUCCUGUGUGAGUUCAUAUACCUGUCUGUGAGUGCUUUGGUGUAUGGAGCCUCAGUACUCUCCAAGGGCAUUAAAGUCAAGAACUAGAACCUGGGUGCUGUGCCUUUCUUUUUUAGAGAUGUGUGCUCAUCCCUUCUCUGACCCCCACUUUGCCAGCAAAUAUAUUUUAUUUCUGCUUAAAAUGUAGUAUGUUUGGGGAUUCCCCACACAAUAAGACAGGCUCUUCUCUGAGACAAGCAGCUGAACUCCUGCCCUGAAAGGGAGGUGGGCCUCUUGAGGACCCUUCCGGAGUUACUCUAGCGUCAUCUAUGUUUCAGGUGGGCAUGAGUCCACCUCAGCCUAGGUACAUCUCUGUCCUCUUCUAUUGGGACUUCUCCAAGGAAAGAAGAGACUACAGGUGCAGUCAUGUGUGUGGCUCACAACCAUGUCAGCUUGAGACCUUCCUGGCUAAUGAGUGUCCUCAUCAAGAUGCCCCUUGGAGUCACAUCACGGAUUAACUCGGAAAGGUGAGUUCUGAAGCACUGAGUAGCUUCAUACCCUCCAAUUGCUUCCCUUAAAUCUGAUUAUUCUGGCUUCUAAACAAAACCACUGUAUCACCUGGGCCAAAUGUAUUCCCUGACCUAAUCACUGAGCAGUCACAUAGUAAUAGUACACUAAUAAUACAGGUUGGAAACAGAAGCUCACACAGGUAUAGUUUCCCCAAAAGCGCUGAGCUAGUAAGUGGAAAAGUCAGGACUCAAACGCAGAGCCCCUUUCUGAAAUGCUCAGGGGUGUUCAACAGCAGGAUCCUUCCUUCCUUCUGGCAGCUUAGUAUCCUGUCUCUGAGGUUCAGGGCUUCACUCUAGCUGACCUGUGAAAAUGUGGAAAGCACAUACUCUAGAACAAGUAUUAGAAUGUCUUCAUAUUUCAGGAAAAGAUUCUAGGAAAAAAGAAAAAAAAGUUCAUUUUCACACUGCUAUAAA